CGCGUAGGCGGGAUGGCAAGUCGGUCGUGAAAUCCCUGGGCUCAACUCAGGGGGGGUCGGCCGAUACUGCCGUUCUUGAGGGAUGCAGAGGAGACUGGAAUUCCCGGUGUAGCGGUGAAAUGUGUAGAGAUCGGGAGGAACACCGGUGGCGAAGGCGGGUCUCUGGGCAUUCCCUGACGCUGAGGCGCGAAAGCGUGGGGAGCAAACG
rnacentral:rRNA from 1 species